rnacentral:rRNA from 1 species
GAUUAACGCUAGCGGCAGGCCUAAUACAUGCAAGUUGAACGGGAUUGAUUGUAGCAAUACGGUCAUGAGAGUAGCGCACGGGUGCGUAACACGUAUGCAACCUACCUAUAACUGGGGAAUAGCCUCCCGAAAGGGCGAAUAAUACCGCAUAAUAUUAUUGAAUGGCAUCAUUUGAUAAUUAAACCCCAGGGGGUUAUAGAUGGGCAUGGGUCCGAUUAGCUAGUUGGUGAGGUAAUGGCUCACCAAGGCUACGAUCGGUAGGGGGUCUGAGAGGAGGAUCCCCCACACUGGUACUGAGACACGGACCAGGCUCCUACGGGAGGCAGCAGUAAGGAAUAUUGGACGAUGGGCGCAAGCCUGAUCCAGCCAUGCCGCGUGAAGGAUGAAGGCACUAUGGGUCGUAAACUUCUUUUAAACGGGGCGAAACCCCUCGACGUGUCGAGGGCUGACGGUACCGUAAGAAUAAGGGUCGGCUAACUUCGUGCCAGCAGCCGCCGCCG